GUUCAUUCGAGCCCGAAGUAAAUGACGCUUUUGCCCUUAAUUUUUUCUUAAGUUACAUCCCUGCCAUUCAGUCUGUUAUAAAUACCCGCCGACAAUUUUGCCCUUCCUUUCUAAUCAAAUUACACCCAUUUGCCCUGCCCUGCUGAUCUGCUGAGAGAUAGAAAGAAGAUUGCGAGAGAGAAAUAUAACAGAGUUCUUCUGGGUCUUCUGCGAGAGAGAGAGAGAGAGAAUGAAGGCUGAUCCGAGAGAGAUGAAGAACAUAAGACGGGAAGAGGAAGAACUAUUCGAUACACCAAGUUGUGGAGAAUAGGCCUGAUGCAAAGUCCUAUGUAGGUAUGGAGUGAGUAUCCUACAUUGAAAUUUUUUUCCAAAGGGCAACAAGGAUGGUGAAGUGUAUGGUGGAGGCUGAGAUUUGGAAUAUUUUGUAAAUUUCAUCAGUGAGAAAUGUAGGACUAGCACAGAUGCGAAAGGGCAACUUAUUUCCAUAGUUAGUACCAUUUUAAACCAAUAAAUGUACCUCAUUAGUUUCCUUAUCGAUUAUCUUCUUUUAUGUAGGCUGAAAUAGUCUCAAGUUUGGAGUUUGUUAUGUAAAACCAUAACAUAUUCGGUUAAUAUUUCUUAGCUUAUGAUUACUACUA